AGUACCCGGACAUUCGGAAGGGAUAAAGCAAGAUAGUUAAAUUACCCGAGCCACAUGGAAAUUGAACUUGUCAUGUCAACAAUUCUGGUGGACGGGGGUUUGUCUUUGGGCAUCAAGAUGGAGAAGCUUUGUUCAACGUUGUGAGAGGACUUGACAAUAUUCAGGGUGCGCUCCAAGCUGAGAUUAUGGCAGCAAGGAAGGCUAUUAGCAUUGGAAUUAACCUAGGAGACCUAUUUUCUCACGGUUACAUUGUUGGGAGAUGCACGAUGUCAUUCGGAAGAUCCUCCUUCCAACAACCAAGCUAGAGAAGUUCAGUGAGGAACCCUGUCCAUGAUGUCACUUUCCCUCGGCUUUGCCUACUUCCGGCUUCGCCCCUGUCCUGGCUGCAUGGUAUAGCUAUGUAUACGGAACAUGGACGGCCGAAUAUACUUUUAUGCUAGGCAAAAUAGCAAACGAGAAGCAGAUAAUCCAAGGUCUGAAUUAUGUAGGUAAUUUGUUGCUACUACACAUGCAUAUGCUUUUUUCACUUAGUGUAUGUAUUUGAGUAUUGAGACAAAAGAUAGAUUAUGUAUCUUGUUUGC